rnacentral:rRNA from 1 species
UACGUAGGGCGCAAGCGUUGUCCGGAAUUAUUGGGCGUAAAGAGCUCGUAGGCGGUUUGUCGCGUCUGUCGUGAAAGCCCACGGCUUAACCGUGGGUCUGCGGUGGAUACGGGCAGACUAGAGGCAGGUAGGGGAGAAUGGAAUUCCCGGUGUAGCGGUGAAAUGCGCAGAUAUCAGGAGGAACACCGAUGGCGAAGGCAGAUCUCUGGGCCGUAACUGACGCUGAGGAGCGAAAGCAUGGGGAGCGAACAGG